UGUUGUGUAAGUGUGAAGACGUGUGUGCUGUGCUGCCUCGCGUGUACUGGUGUGUGUUGUUCUGUGUGGGUGUAGUGUGUGUGUGUGUGUGUGUGUGUGUGUGUGUGACUCUGGAAACACUGGCCAUGCGCUGGAGUACAGAAGACGUGGGUAGUGUUGUGUUGUGUUAGCUAAGGCGGGAACACAGUAGGAGUCAAGGGACAGCCUGUGGGAGUGUUCACUUCCGUGCAUCGACCAGGAGGAGUUAAAAUCCCCGAACUUCCUGGAUGUUCACAGUAUUCCUUCAGUUCACAGUGCGGAAAAAUGCAACUUGAAGCCCACCACCUGAAGGCCGCUGAACGCCCUGACCAGAGCGGCAGUUGUGUGAAGUACUGCCGCCCCGCCGCCGCUGUCUGGGAGUGUGCUGCCUUUUGGAUCAAAAGCAGCCGAUCAAGAUAUAUAGUUUGGAAGGCCGCCAGCCAGCGCCCACCAGCGGCCCCAGUGCUCCUUGUGCCUUCACUUGCGGCGUCCCCUCUCCCCUAUCCUCCUCAAAGUCCUUCAGCAUGUCAGUGCUGUCCAUCCUGAGACGCGGGGAUUUAGCAGACUGGGUCCUGGUUAGGCUGGUGGGUCCCUCAUGACGACUGAGAGGGACUAGAGUGCAGGCCUUUGUACCCUUCCCGCGAGGCAUGUCAUUCCUGCAGGGUGGGGAGGAACAGAGGGGACUGUUUCUCCUUGGAUUAUCUUAUUUAUUCAUUCAGUCAUUUUUACUAUUUUUUUUUUAUAUUACUUGUCUCUUUCUCUCUAGAAUAUGCAGGAAAAGACAAGUUGUAUAGGAAUGCUGUGAUUGUUCUGCCACUCUUGUUUAAUUUAUACUUUUUCUAUAAGAGGAGGAGUAUGGAAGAGUAUGGCUUCCUCAUCACGGCUUACUAUGAGCUCAUACUUAUAAAACGCCUCUUUUUCAUGUCUAACGGCUCUUGUAUGUACAAUAUAUUAGCCAGUCAAAUUACACGGCACGUUGUAAUUAAUAUUGUGAUGCAAGGGCAGCUCUGUUUGAAGCGUAAGCGAUGUAAUAGAAUGUUUUUGUUUAUAAUAAUAACAGCUGACGUUUUAGUGUUUGGUUCAUCAGUCUUUUGUUGGAAGUU